CUUCUUUCUUGCUAGCACUAUCUUUCUUGCUCAUGAAGCAAGGUGCUAUAUUGUAAGAAUCUCAAUGCAGGAGCCCAGUGGCAAGGAACUGAGGGAGACUUCCAGCCAAGUGUGUGCAAAGAACUCAAUCAGCCAACAAUCUGAUGAGUGAACUAGAGAGUGAAUCCUUCUCAACUGAGCAUUUAAAUGACUGUUACCUUGUGGUAGAUCCAGACGACCCAGCUAAGCUACCCCUGGCUCCCUCACCCACAGAAACUUUUCCUCACCAGUAAAAUGAGAACGGUACCAGCGCCUAACACACAGUUGGGAUAAAGUCCAGAUGAGACAAGAUCUAUGACUGUGUGGGGAUGGAUAAGUGGUUUCUACCUGCCAGCUAUGAUAACCAGCCAGCAUCGGGCCCCUAAGCCACUAGACAGUGCUCUACGUUGUUUUGAAAACACAGAUGACCCCUAGCAUGUGAAGCUCAGCGGUACACCGACACGAAACAUCCCUCGGACUGAGGGUGAAUUAAUAUUUUGUAAAGCUUUAAAUGUUAAAACCAAACCUGGAUAUGGCACAUAUAUCAAAGUUAUGUUCCUAAUGUGAAUUUUCUACCAACUGCCUAAAAAUAUCUGAUGGUAAAGGAAGCCUGUUGCCGAAGUCCACACAUUUCCCCUAUUAAACAGAGGUAAGCCAUAUCCCCAAGAAACCAUAUUUCAAGCCCACAGGAUACUCAUGAACUAAAAUAAUGAAUGAUAAUGCCUCGUUCCCUGCAUUAAUAUUAAAGAAAAGAGAAAAUAGAAAACUUUAUAGCCACUAUCAGCUCUCUGAACCAUAAAUCUCAAGUUUUGAGAAUUGCUUCCCAAAAGGGUAGGGAGCGGGGGGGGGGGGCGGAUGAGCUGUGAGAGCACUUUGGAGCCUAGAGAUAUUUUUUAGCAAGCCAGCAAAGCACUGACACAAAUUUCUACAUAUCUCUGGCUGUGAAAAGUCUCAUUUGUGGUGAUUUAUAUUUCCUCAUAAAGAACUCUGUAGAUAAUAUAAGCCUGCUGUGAGGCUGUAUGACAACUUUCAAACCAAGAGUUACACGACCAUUCUGUUAAAAUAGAGCAAGAAUAGAUGAGUGGGAAAAUCUGUAGAAACAGUAUUUCUUCUGAUGAAAGGCCAAAGUCUGGCUUUUCCAGCAUGCACAGUGUUCAGAGGUUCACCUUUCGCUCCAUGUACAUGUCUCAUGGAUAACAUUGUGGUCAUCUGUAUGAGAAAGUAUUAUUUUUUCCCCCCGAAGAUUGACUAAGUGCAUUUGGUGUGUGCAUGCUUGUGUAAUUUACAACAAAGGACACUUAGACAUCAUCACACUGGAGUUCAGUUGCCUUAAUAAGUUACUAAGGGAAACACAGAGAAUAGCAUGCUGACAGCCCAAAGUCAAUGAAGUAUAAACACUGUUAUUCCAAGUGUCACUGGCGUGUUAUUUCCAUUUCUCCUGGCAUCUGCUCUAUGUAACGCUGCACACACACGCGAUACAGCAGCUCAUUAAACUGUUUUCAGUUAACUCUGCAACCAGAUUAGUACAUUACAUGUUUAUAAGGCUGAGAAUUACUGCUUCCCUGUGAAAUUACACAAUUAAUCAGGUGCGUUAUUUCUCGGGGAGAUGUGGCCACUUUUGACAUUUAGGGAUAAAAAAACAUACAAAAAACCAGAAAAAAACCAAUCCUUUCAUUUGUUCCAUUUCGGCAUUUAGUCUCAGUGUGGUAACACGAAGCAAAAGGCGGCAUAAUUCCCUCCUCCCCCUCAGGAGGUCAGAACUCUCUAUGUUCCCGCAGUCUCGUAAUAGCAUUUUAAAUUCUUGAAAGGAGCACAAAUAAAAAUUAUUGUUUUUGAACUUCUUAUCUGAGUGUCACAGCCUUUGAAAACUUCAAACAACGCAAAGAGUACUUAUGAGUCUUUAGUUUUGUAUGGCUUAUACCGUGAAUUUCCAUCAAGUCCCAAUUAUUCAACAGCUUUUGAGCGCCCUUUGCGAACUUUAAGGCGGCUCCCAAAGUCAAAACCUAUUAAGCAGGGAUGUGAGUUCCAGCUUCCGUUUUCACAGACCUGGCAUUAAUUCCUCUGAUUCUUUCUAACAGCGCCUCAUCUCUUAGGCAAGUCAUGUACUGGGGGGAUGCAUUUCUUUUAAAAAUCCUCCCCACCUGACCAAAUAAUACUGCCAACUUUUUAAAAAUAUUGAAUUGUUUUAAAAUAUCCUGUGUUCCUAUUAGUUGCCCCCUCCACCUUCGGGUCUACUCAGACUAUGUGAAACAUGGGUCAAGCCUCCACGCUCUGCCCAGGCCUAAGCUGGUGUCAAGCAUUCCUGUUCCGGAAGGUUAACAGGGCACCUGGCAACAAACUGCCGUUUCCGUAAGAGAAACUCACAAUUAACAUAGAAAAAUAUCCUGAAGUCUCUAAAUAUCCUCUUUUAUGUUCUUUAUUUAACCUUCAUUUAAGAGCCCUUGAAAUCCAUUCAUGCUUUCCAAAAAGAUGGCUAGGGACAACUUGAAACAGACACAAUUCUCUAAACUCAUUCUUUAAAUAAAAAAGGUGCAUUCUUGCAGGUUCACAAGAGACCCCUGAAGUACACAAAGGAAAUAGAACAACUGUUUUCACGCACAAAUCUGAUGUGAUCCAGGCGAACUUCCAGUGUCUGAGUGCAGAGCAACUGUUCCACUCACUGGAUAUUCAGAAAAAAGCAAAACUAAACAACAACAACAAAGAACUAAACUAAAUAGGUCUUAGUGACUACGAUAUACUCUGUACCUGAGCAAUUGCCAUUUGAUGUUUGUGCCAUAUUCAUGCCUUCCCAUGUUAGCAAACAUUAAAAUGUGUCAACUUCCUAACACUGCCCCUCAACUCCUUUCUCUAUUAAUAUAAAUACGUCUUGCUCAAUACUAUGUUCUGGGUUUACAUAUUUUAAAAAUUAUAGGAGGUGAACUAGUAUUCGACCACAGUCCUUCUGGAAAUUCCAGUUAUAAACCCCUUGGAUCUCAGCUGAAGUAUAUGCUAGAGUAUGUAAUGCUAAAAUAUGGUUCUAGUAAUCAAAAGCAUUUUUCAAUAAUAAAAGCAAAACGCGCACGCGCGCGCGCACACAUACACUGAAGCAAAUACUGAGUUGUUCAUUUUAAAAAAGAACACAGUGCUUACAGGUCACCUCCCCUGCAAGAGUAAAAGACUAAGAAAGAUGAAAAAGAUUACCUCCUGCUUUGAUAAAUGUAUCGUUUUGAUACUCUUGUAUUUCAAUAAGAACAACUCAGAAAAAAGGCAGAUUGGUGUGAACUGACAGGCCUGAAAUAAUUCCUAAUGUCCAUUACUAAAGUAAACUGCUGAAAGACUGGACAUCCAAAGGGGAAUGAAGACUUCCUUAGGCAUAUGUAAUCCAAGCAUAACGUUCCUUCAGAAUAUAGGGCAAAGACUCAAAAUGUGAAUCUUUACAAGGCAUUUGUGAAAUUUUUUACUCCAGUAUAAAUGAGGGCUGUUCAAGGUAUGGUAACUUUCCAAAGGGCAAACAGUUUUUUGGACGUGGAUUGUGGAAGUCAUUUUUUUGGUGGUCAACUGAUCCUGUGAAAAUAUUUAUUUGAACCUUGGGAAUAAGAAAGGUUGUGAUAAUAAAUUAUUAUUAUAUACCCUUUUUACAGAUGAAGAAAGUGAGGCUUCGUUAUCCACAGAUACAUGGCUACUAGGAGUACAGGAGGAUUUGAGGGCAAGGCUGCAUCUACCCUCUAUAAAUGAGAGUCUGUGCCUUUUUCUUUUAAAACCAUGCUCUACUCUCCCCCUUUGAUGUAGUGUAUCCUCAUCAUAUGAUCAAAAAACAUUAUUCAAAAAUCAGGGAGGAGUGCCUGGUGGCUCAGUUGGUUAAGCGUCUGACUCUUGGUAUCAGCUCAGGUUAUGAUCUCAAAGU